rnacentral:rRNA from 1 species
UACGGAGGGUGCGAGCGUUGUCCGGAAUCACUGGGCGUAAAGGGCGCGUAGGCGGCCUGAUAAGUAGGGGGGUGAAAUCCUGCGGCUUAACCGCAGGGCUGCCUUCUAAACUGUCAGGCUCGAGCACAGUAGAGGCAGGUGGAAUUCCCGGUGUAGCGGUGGAAUGCGUAGAGAUCGGGGAAGAACAUCAGUGGCGAAGGCGGCCUGCUGGGCUGUUGCUGACGCUGAGGCGCGACAGCGUGGGGGAGCAAACAGG